GUCCCCCCCAUUUACAGUAAAAUGUUUAUGAACUCAGUUUGCCCUGCAAAUAUAGUAAGGGUACCCAUAAAACCCCACUAGACUAGAACCCAAGAACUAACUUUCAAUAUUUAAUCACAUUAUGCAGCAUUAUGAAUUAAAUAAGUUAAAGGGAUACUACAGGCACGAUAAAGUUUUUUCAUUGAAAUCGUUAUAGUGUCUGGAGUUCCCUUGUGCCGACCUUCUGUU